GACAGCUAGGAUGUUGGCUUGGAAGCAGCCAUUCAUUUAAAGAGUGGCAUUGUCGACACUAGUCGAGCGGACGAGCAUGGAUAAUAAUCGGGCAUAAGCAUACUACCGAAGCUAUGGAUUUUACGUAAGUAAAGUGGUAGGGGAGCAUUCUAAACUGGGUCGAAGGUGUGAUGUGAGUCAUGCUGGACUGUUUAGAAAAGAAAAUGUAGGCAUAAGUAACGAUAAUGCGGGCGAGAAACCCGCACACCGAAAAACUAAGGUUUCCGCAGCUAUGCUAAUCAGCUGCGGGUUAGUCGGGUCCUAAGGCGAACCCGAAAGGGACAGUCGAUGGCCAACGGGUUAAUAUUCCCGUACUACUUAUAAUUGUGAUGGAGAGACGCAGUGGUGAAAGUACCGCGAACUGACGGAAUAGUUCGUUAAAGCACUUAGCUAUAGGCCCGGUAGGCAAAUCCGCUGGGACUGGUGAAAUGCGAUAGUACUCAGAGUCUUCGGACAACGAGAUAGUGUACCUAAAGGCUGCCAAGAAAAUCUUCUAAACUUAGAUUAUAAGUACCCGUACCGUAAACCGACACAGGUAGUUGAGGAGAGAAUCCUAAGGUGCUCGAGAGAUUCAUGGCUAAGGAAUUAGGCAAAAUAGACCUGUAACUUCGGGAGAAAGGUCGCCAGCAGCAAUGCUGGCCGCAGUGAAAAGAUCCAGGCGACUGUUUAUCAAAAACACAGGGCUCUGCAAAAUCGUAAGAUGAAGUAUAGGGCCUGACACCUGCCCGGUGCUGGAAGGUUAAGAGGAGAUGUUAUCUUCGGAGAAGCAUUGAAUUGAAGCCCCAGUAAACGGCGGCCGUAACAAUAACGGUCCUAAGGUAGCGAAAUUCCUUGUCGGGUAAGUUCCGACCUGCACGGAAAUGGCGUAACGAUCUGAUACUGUCUCAGCCAUGAGCUCGGUGAAAUUGUAGUAACGGUGAAGAUGCCGUUUACCCGCAGUGGGACGAAAAGACCCUGUGCACCUUUACUAUAGCUUAGUAUUGACUUUGGACAAGUGAUGUGUAGGAUAGGUGGGAGACUUCGAUCCUGCGUCGCCAGGCGUAGGUUAGUCAUUGUUGAAAUACCACCCUUUGCUUGUCUGAAGCCUAACCCCGCUGUGCGGGGGACAUUGCUUGGUGGGUAGUUUGACUGGGGUGGUCGCCUCCAAAAGAGUAACGGAGGCUUCUAAAGGUUCCCUCAGCACGCUUGGUAACCGUGCGUAGAGUGCAAUGGCAUAAGGGAGCUUGACUGAGAGACAUACAGGUCGAUCAGGUACGAAAGUAGAGCAUAGUGAUCCGGUGGUUCCGCAUGGAAGGGCCAUCGCUCAAAGGAUAAAAGGUACGCCGGGGAUAACAGGCUGAUCUCCCCCAAGAGCUCAUAUCGACGGGGGGGUUUGGCACCUCGAUGUCGGCUCGUCACAUCCUGGGGCUGGAGAAGGUCCCAAGGGUU
rnacentral:rRNA from 1 species